rnacentral:rRNA from 1 species
UACGUAGGGUGCGAGCGUUGUCCGGAAUUAUUGGGCGUAAAGAGCUCGUAGGCGGUUUGUUGCGUCGGCUGUGAAAUCCCGAGGCUCAACCUCGGGUCUGCAGUCGAUACGAGCAAACUAGAGUGUUGCAGGGGAGACUGGAAUUCCUGGUGUAGCGGUGAAAUGCGCAGAUAUCAGGAGGAACACCGGUGGCGAAGGCGGGUCUCUGGACAACACCUGACACUGAGGCACGAAAGCUAGGGGAGCAAACAGG